rnacentral:lncRNA from 1 species
GCGAGCGCCCCAGCCCGGGCCGGCGCCCCCGCCAGCGCCCGCGGCGGCAGCGGAGGAGCGGCGCCGGGAGUGAGCGGCUGCGCGGCUGCUGGGAGGGUGAAUGAAGCCAGGAGGAGGGGAAGGAGGAGGCGGCGGCGGCGGAGGAGGCGCUGCGGGGACUGGGAUGCGCCCUGGAGCCCCGCUGCUCGCUCACUCUGGGCCGGGCCGGAGACUCCGCCACUCCCGCGGCCGCCGCCUCCUACGUGGUCCCAGCGCCGCGAGCAGGCCGGUCCCGCCGGGGGCAGGGAAGGGGCCGGCCGGGCGGAGCGACAGGAGCAUCGUGCAGCAGCCAGUCCCCAGGGUGGUCCGUUCAAGCUGCGGAUUUGUUUGCCAUCACUCUAAGACAAUCUCCUCCUCCACGGCCACUCCAGGGAAGUGCAUCAGAAAUCAGCAUACUGGAGCAAAAUGA